rnacentral:rRNA from 1 species
UACGGAGGGUGCAAGCGUUGCUCGGAAUUAUUGGGCGUAAAGGGCAGGUAGGUGGUCUUAUUUGUCCGGGGUGAAAUCCUUGAGCUUAACUCAAGAAGUGCCCCGGAGACGGUGAGACUAGAGUUUUGGAGAGGGUCGUGGAAUUCCCGGUGUAGCGGUGAAAUGCGUAGAGAUGUGGAGGAAUACCGAUGGCGAAGGCAGCCCCCUGGGAUAACACUGACGCUCAUGCACGAAAGCGUGGGGAGCAAACAGG